CUGAACCGGGUGGAUUCCUCGGAUGCUUCAGACACACGGACACACCCGGCCUCCGACUCGUCGCUCCGGUUCUCACAGUCGGAGUCGUGACGGAGACUCACUGAGGUACAGGCGGCCGCUGAGAUGAAGGUUCAGCUCGUGAUCCUGCUCUUGGCUCUCGUGGUCCUGCUGCAAGUGACACGAAAUGAGGCCUCUGACGGCGGUGAUGACAGUCAGGUGAUUCCAGAAGACGAGAUGCUGAGGGAGAUCUUUGCGGGUGAUGCAGACGUCUCGGGGGAGGACACACCUGUCGGCGCCGGAGGAGAAGACGUUCCCACAUGACACUGGUUUGAAGACCUCGUCCUCGAAACUGUUUGAGCCAAGACAUGUUGAAUAAAUAAAGAUAUUAAAUAAAUACA